GACAGUGGUAGCUCAGUGGUUAAGAUGUUGGCCUUUUGAUCGGAAGGUUGAGAGUUCAAAUCCCAGCACUGGCA